rnacentral:rRNA from 1 species
UAGUCCACGCCGUAAACGAUGUCAACUAGCUGCUUGUGGGUUUAACCCGUGGGUGGCGGAGCUAACGCAUUAAGUUGACCGCCUGGGGAGUACGGCCGCAAGGUUAAAACUCAAAUGAAUUGACGGGGGCCCGCACAAGCGGUGGAGCAUGUGGUUUAAUUCGAUGCAACGCGAAGAACCUUACCAUCCCUUGACAUCCAGAGAAUUCGCUAGAGAUAGCUUAGUGCCUUCGGGAACUCUGAGACAGGUGCUGCAUGGCUGUCGUCAGCUCGUGUUGUGAAAUGUUGGGUUUAGUCCCGCAACGAGCGCAACCCCUAUCACUAGUUGCCAUCAAGUAAAGUUGGGGACUCUAGUGAGACUGCCUACGCAAGUAGAGAGGAAGGCGGGGACGACGUCAAAUCAUCAUGGCCUUUAUGCCUAGGGCUACACACGUGCUACAAUGGUGAUGACAAAGGGUAGCGAGCUAGUGAUAGUCAGCAAAUCCCAAAAACAUCAU